rnacentral:rRNA from 1 species
UGGUGGAGUGAUUUGUCUGGUUAAUUCCGUUAACGAACGAGACCUUAACCUAUUAAAUAGUUACGCGAAUUUGAAUCUCGGACCUGGCGUAAAUCUCAACGAGAUGGGCGUUAGUGAUGAAUUCUCUUCAAUUCGUGAUAUAACUUCUUAGAGGGACUCUUUGCAUCUCUAGCAAAUGGAAGUUUGAGGCAAAAACA